rnacentral:rRNA from 1 species
AGAGUUUGAUCCUGGCUCAGAUUGAACGCUGACAGAAUGCUUAACACAUGCAAGUCUACUUGAACUUCGGUUUGGGUGGCGGACGGGUGAGUAACGCGUAAAGAACUUGCCUCACAGAUAGGGACAACAUUUGGAAACGAAUGCUAAUACCUGAUAUUAUGAUUUUAGGGCAUCCUAGAAUUAUGAAAGCUAUAUGCACUGUGAGAGAGCUUUGCGUCCCAUUAGCUAGUUGGAGAGGUAACGGCUCACCAAGGCGAUGAUGGGUAGCCGGCCUGAGAGGGUGAUCGGCCACAAGGGGACUGAGACACGGCCCUUACUCCUACGGGAGGCAGCAGUAGGGAAUCUUCGGCAAUGGGGGGAACCCUGACCGAGGCACGCCGCCGUGGAGUGAAGAAGGUUUUCGGAUCGUAAAGCUCUGUUGUAAGAGAAGAACGAGUGUGAGAGUGGAAAGUUCACACUGUGACGGUAUCUUACCAGAAAGGGACGGCUAACUACGUGCCAGCAGCCGCGGUAAUACGUAGGUCCCGAGCGUUGUCCGGAUUUAUUGGGCGUAAAGCGAGCGCAGGCGGUUAGAUAAGUCUGAAGUUAAAGGCUGUGGCUUAACCAUAGUACGCUUUGGAAACUGUUUAACUUGAGUGCAAGAGGGGAGAGUGGAAUUCCAUGUGUAGCGGUGAAAUGCGUAGAUAUAUGGAGGAACACCGGUGGCGAAAGCGGCUCUCUGGCUUGUAACUGACGCUGAGGCUCGAAAGCGUGGGGAGCAAACAGGAUUAGAUACCCUGGUAGUCCACGCCGUAAACGAUGAGUGCUAGGUGUUAGACCCUUUCCGGGGUUUAGUGCCGCAGCCUAACGCAUUUAGCACUCCGGCCUGGGGGAGUACGACCGCAAGGUUGAAACUCAAAGGAAUUGACGGGGGCCCGCACAAGCGGUGGAGCAUGUGGUUUAAUUCGAAGCAACGCGAAGAACCUUACCAGGUCUUGACAUCCCUCUGACCUCUUCUAGAGAUAGAAGAUUUCCUUCGGGACAGAGGUGACAGGUGGUGCAUGGUUGUCGUCAGCUCGUGUCGUGAGAUGUUGGGUUAAGUCCCGCAACGAGCGCAACC